CAGCCUGUGUGAAGUGAGACCUGACAAGCAUGAACACAGCCCAGAGAACCAAUCCUUUGUCUGAUUACAACUGUCGACAGAGAAGUCUGGUGAAGUUCUAUGAGACUCUCUCCACAUUUACUGCAAAACUAGGGGUCUUACCGUCUUAACCCCGGUAUCCUUGCUAAAUUCCCAAUGGGGCAACUCAUACUGCAUGAUCACCUCAUCAUUCACAGCUUAUGGUGGGCAUUCUUAUGUAAAAUGGUCACCAUGCACAAACCAGUUCGUUUUGUUUCGUCAAGCCUACCAGCGGUUUUCUCUAGUUCUGUUUUCUAGCUUUCCCGGUCUUGACGAUUCUGCCUGCCCUGAGCCUGCCUGCCGUUCUGUACCUUUCGGACUCUGCUCUGGAUUACUGACCCCUGCCUGCCCUUGACCUGUCAUUUGCCUGUCCCCCUGUUUUUGAAAUAAACUUUUGUUACUUCGAAAUUGUCUGCAUCUGGGUCUUCUCCUGAGCCUUGAUAAUAGCCCUCCUUUAGGAUUGCACAUUUAGCAAGUCACCAGCUGAGGGAGUUCCCUUUGAAUCCUUUUUCAUUCAUUAUGUUGGUGGUGCUUAUAAAAUGUAUCAUACCACUCUGGAAAUGGUAUGUACUUGUAGAGUAUAUUGUUCCAAACAAUAUGUCUUAAAAUUAACAAAAUCAAAAAGAUGUGUAAAACAAUUUAUAGAUCAUCAUAAUUGGACUGGAUCAAGAGUGAAGGAAGGACCCUUGAGUUCCCUGAGUAUAAAGGCUUUUCCAUCCUCCCUCCACAUGGAUUGUACAGGAAUGUAGGCUUAAAACGCAUCAUAAAUUCCUGCACCCAUCCCAGUCACAUGUAAGGCACUCUCUGUGCCGUACAGUCAUUUGGAGACACCUUGUGUUCGCUCUGAAAUGAGGACUGGAGGAGGAGUGAAAGCGUCUGUGUUUUCCAUCCUCAAAUUCGUCAAAAUCUACACAACAAUCUAAUGAUUCGUGGGGACCUUGUCUGGUUGACAAAAACUGGGGCAGCAAUGUUGAUACCAUCAGCCAAAAUGUUUGCUUCUUAUGCCGUCAGCCCUUUGACCAACUUUUCUUUUUGUAUAGCAACAGAUCUGCAACAUCUGCAUUCAUAGUUUGACUGUGGACAGCACUUUCUCCUCAAGUCACAACCUUUGGGUUGAAAUUCAGUUUGUCUGUGGAGCAACAGUCUGAGCCAGUCGAAUGGGAAUGCCUUGAGAACAAGGGGUGGGGAUUCCGUCCAUGGUCCAUAUCAAAUGGAUCUAAGCUUCCUGGUCGGGCUCCCUUCAGGGGGUGUUUAGACAUUAAGUUUAGUGUUUGUCUACAGAUGCUACUGUGAACACACACAUCCCCCUCUCCGUGAACACCAGGGACUCUGAACACACACACACACACACCCCUCAUAUCACACACUACUCCCAUCUUUGUUUAAGGGCACAGCAGGGAGGGACAUACGGAUGUUAACCAGACCCCAGGCAGGGUGGCAGAGGGAGGGACACACCUUCCGGAGGACACACACACACACACACACACACACACACACACACACACACACACACACACACACACACACUGUGUGUUUGUAUUUUGUGUGUGGUGUGUGCAUGAGGCUAUGUGUGUGUUCACUGUAUAUACAUUGGCUUUGAUGUGUCUGGCAAUGGUAAUGAGGCAUUCAAACAGUGCAUAUUAGCCUGGCAAACCCUAUCAUGCCUUUAGGGGCCUUUUUCCCCAAGUUUGACUGAGGGAUAAGGAAUGUAAUUCAUAACAGCUACACAACAGAGAAAACUCAGUCUUUCUGUUGAAAAGCAGUUAAAUUAAAGCUGCUUCUAGACAGUCAUGCAGGUCUAUUAGGAUACAUAAGAAGAUCUAUCAACACUCAUCAAUAAAAAAUGAUGUAUGGCAUCUGAGAAUGAUGUCUGGCUUUUAGGGGUGGACUGGCCAUCUGGCAAAUGCCAGAUGGGCUGGUCCUUUUUUAGACAAGUGGGCCUGUCUAACUUGGGUUUUUUGAGCAAAAUUAUAAUUAUCUGGCUAAUUAUGGCCUGAAGGAAAAGAAUUAGCCAGUGUGGGGGCCUGGAGGAAAAUAAUGGGCCAGUGGGCCUCCUGAGUGGCGCAGCGGUAUAAGGCACUGCAUCGCAGUGCUUGUGGUGUUACUACAGACCCGGGUUUGAUCCCGGGCUGUGUCGCAGCCUGUCGUAACCGGGAGAACCAUGAGGUGGUGCACAAUUGGCCCAGCAUCGUCCGGGUUAGGGGAGGGUUUGGCCGGCUGUGAUGUCCUUGCCUCAUCGCACUCUAGUGAUUAUUUGGCGUGCUGGGCCCAUGCACACUGACACGGUCGGCAGUUUUAAGGUGUUUCCUCCGACACAUUGGUGCGGCUGGCUUCCUGGUUAAGCGAGCAGUGUGUCAAGAAGCAGUGCGGCUUGGCAGGGUCGUGUUUCUGAGGACACAUGGCUCAACCUUCGCCUCUCGAGUCCAUACGGGAGUUGCAGUGAUGGGAAAAGACUGUAACUACCAAUUGGAUAUCUCAAAAUUGGAGAGAAAAAGGGGUAAAAUAAAUAAAUAAAAAAUAGUAAAAAAAUAAAUAUCCCAGGGCCGAGUUUUGGUCCCAGUCCGCCCCUGCUGGCUUUAGUUACUUGGGACAAAGUGAAAGAGCUGACAUCUGGAAGGCUUCUUAUGCUUCUUUUGCCCAUGGUGAAUUGCAAAUCACCCCUUUAUCCCUCAAAUAAUUUCUCUGCUACUAAUAAAUAUUUGAAACUAUAUGACAGAGAAGUUGCUACUAAAUUAUAGUAAUGAUAACAUUCUUCCUAACAAAUGUGCCCAUUUGCUUUUGCUAUUACAAU
rnacentral:lncRNA from 1 species